rnacentral:rRNA from 1 species
UACGUAGGGUGCAAGCGUUAAUCGGAAUUACUGGGCGUAAAGCGUGCGCAGGCGGUUCGGAAAGAAAGAUGUGAAAUCCCAGAGCUUAACUUUGGAACUGCAUUUUUAACUACCGAGCUAGAGUGUGUCAGAGGGAGGUGGAAUUCCGCGUGUAGCAGUGAAAUGCGUAGAUAUGCGGAGGAACACCGAUGGCGAAGGCAGCCUCCUGGGAUAACACUGAUGCUCAUGCACGAAAGCGUGGGGAGCAAACAGG